rnacentral:rRNA from 1 species
CGGAUUGACCAAAGCACCCUGAAUGUGCCCGAUCUCGUCGGAUGUCAGAUGCUAAACGGGGUUGAGUCUGGUUAGUACUCUACGGUACUGGAAAUGGAGACUGCCUGGGAAUAGCAAGUGCUGGAUAAGC